rnacentral:piRNA from 1 species
GCAAGAAGGUAUCCUCUUCCCAAGGUGUA